rnacentral:rRNA from 1 species
UGAACGCGAAGAACCUUACCAAGGCUUGACAUACACCGGAAACAUCCAGAGAUGGGUGCCCCCUUGUGGUCGGUGUACAGGUGGUGCAUGGCUGUCGUCAGCUCGUGUCGUGAGAUGUUGGGUUAAGUCCCGCAACGAGCGCAACCCUUGUCCCGUGUUGCCAGCAGGCCCUUGUGGUGCUGGGGACUCACGGGAGACCGCCGGGGUCAACUCGGAGGAAGGUGGGGACGACGUCAAGUCAUCAUGCCCCUUAUGUCUUGGGCUGCACACGUGCUACAAUGGCCGGUACAAUGAGCUGCGAUACCGUGAGGUGGAGCGAAUCUCAAAAAGCCGGUCUCAGUUCGGAUUGGGGUCUGCAACUCGACCCCAUGAAGUCGGAGUCGCUAGUAAUCGCAGAUCAGCAUUGCUGCGGUGAAUACGUUCCCGGGUCUUGUACACACGCA